rnacentral:rRNA from 1 species
GUCUAAAGCCAUGCCCCCCUGAACAAGCCUGAUCCCGUCCGAUGUUGGAAGCUAAGGAGGGUCAGGCCUGGUUAGUACUUGGAUGGGAAACCACCUAGGAAGGCUAGGUGCUGUAGGCA